rnacentral:tRNA from 1 species
GGAAGCGUGGGUGAGUGGUUGAAACCGACAGUCUUGAAAACUGUUAUACGGGAAACCGUAUCGGAGGUUCGAAUCCUCCCGCUUCCG